GUUGAGGAGUCCCACAAUAGGACGAAACGGCCGUCAAC
rnacentral:hammerhead_ribozyme from 1 species